rnacentral:rRNA from 1 species
UACGAAGGGGGGCUAGCGUUGCUCGGAAUCACUGGGCGUAAAGGGCGCGUAGGCGGUCUUUUAAGUCUUGUGUGAAAUCCCUCGGCUCAACUGAGGAACUGCACGGGAUACUGGAAGACUUGAGUUCGGGAGAGGGAAGCGGAAUUCCGGGUGUAGCGGUGAAAUGCGUAGAUAUCCGGAGGAACACCGGUGGCGAAGGCGGCUUCCUGGACCGAUUACUGACGCUGAGGCGCGAAAGCUAGGGGAGCAAAGCGG